CCAGACUCCUACGGGAGGCAGCAGUGGGGAAUAUUGCACAAUGGGGGGAACCCUGAUGCAGCGACGCCGCGUGGGUGAAGGAGCACCUCGGUGCGUAAAGCCCUAUCGGCAGGGAAGAAACAGACGGUACCUGACUAAGAAGCCCCGGCUAACUACGUGCCAGCAGCCGCGGUAAUACGUAGGGGGCAAGCGUUAUCCGGAUUCACUGGGUGUAAAGGGAGCGUAGGUGGGCGCUUAAGUCAGGUGUGAAAACUCCGGGCUCAACCUGGAGACUGCACUUGAAACUGGGUGUCUUGAGGGCAGGAGAGGAAAGUGGAAUUCCUAGUGUAGCGGUGAAAUGCGUAGAUAUUAGGAGGAACACCAGUGGCGAAGGCGGCCUGCUGGACCGUGACUGACGUUGAGGCUCGAGAGCGUGGGGAGCAAACAGGAUUAGAUACCCCAGUAAC
rnacentral:rRNA from 1 species